rnacentral:rRNA from 1 species
GUUUGAUCAUGGCUCAGAUUGAACGCUGGCGGCAGGCCUAACACAUGCAAGUCGAGCGGAUGAGGGGAGCUUGCUUCCCGAUUCAGCGGCGGACGGGUGAGUAAUGCCUAGGAAUCUGCCCGAUAGUGGGGGACAACGUUUCGAAAGGAACGCUAAUACCGCAUACGUCCUACGGGAGAAAGUGGGGGAUCUUCGGACCUCACGCUAUCGGAUGAGCCUAGGUCGGAUUAGCUAGUUGGUGAGGUAAUGGCUCACCAAGGCGACGAUCCGUAACUGGUCUGAGAGGAUGAUCAGUCACACUGGAACUGAGACACGGUCCAGACUCCUACGGGAGGCAGCAGUGGGGAAUAUUGGACAAUGGGCGAAAGCCUGAUCCAGCCAUGCCGCGUGUGUGAAGAAGGUCUUCGGAUUGUAAAGCACUUUAAGUUGGGAGGAAGGGCAGUAAGCUAAUACCUUGCUGUUUCGACGUUACCAACAGAAUAAGCACCGGCUAACUUCGUGCCAGCAGCCGCGGUAAUACGAAGGGUGCAAGCGUUAAUCGGAAUUACUGGGCGUAAAGCGCGCGUAGGUGGUUCAGCAAGUUGGAUGUGAAAGCCCCGGGCUCAACCUGGGAACUGCAUCCAAAACUACUGAGCUAGAGUACGGUAGAGGGUGGUGGAAUUUCCUGUGUAGCGGUGAAAUGCGUAGAUAUAGGAAGGAACACCAGUGGCGAAGGCGACCACCUGGACUGAUACUGACACUGAGGUGCGAAAGCGUGGGGAGCAAACAGGAUUAGAUACCCUGGUAGUCCACGCCGUAAACGAUGUCAACUAGCUGUUGGGUUCCUUGAGAACUUAGUAGCGCAGCUAACGCGAUAAGUUGACCGCCUAGGGAGUACGGC